UGCCUGAGAAUGGGCAAAGAGAUACCUUGUUGGUGGUGUUGUUCUUAUAUUAGUCAGGGGCAGAGGAGAUGACAGUCCUUUGUUCAUCCUAGCUUCAUGCCUGUCCUGGUGUCCAAAGCUGUCUUAUGCCUAGGACUCAUAC